UCUACACAGAAUGGUCAAUUUUCUCGAGACUGUCGGACCCAUGUAAGAAAUCUUGUGCAUAAAUGAAAUUGCACUAAGGCAAAGAAAUAAACCACACAAGAAAUCGUUUCCAUACAGGUUUCAGUUCAUCACCAUGUCUAAAUUAUGUAUGCAUAAACUGCAAGUGAUUGUCCAACAGACCAGUGACACAAGGU